rnacentral:rRNA from 1 species
AACGAACGCUGGCGGCAUGCCUAACACAUGCAAGUCGAACGAAGCCUUCGGGCUUAGUGGCGCACGGGUGCGUAACGCGUGGGAAUCUGCCCUUGGGUUAGGAAUAACAGUUAGAAAUGACUGCUAAUACCGGAUGAUGUCUUAGGACAAAAGUUUUAUCGCCCAAGGAUGAGCCCGCGUAGGAUUAGGUAGUUGGUGGGGUAAUGGCCCACCAAGCCGACGAUCCUUAGCUGGUCUGAGAGGAUGAUCAGCCACACUGGGACUGAGACACGGCCCAGACUCCUACGGGAGGCGGCAGUGGGGAAUAUUGGACAAUGGGCGAAAGCCUGAUCCAGCAAUGCCGCGUGAGUGAUGAAGGCCUUAGGGUUGUAAAGCUCUUUUACCAGGGAUGAUAAUGACAGUACCUGGAGAAUAAGCUCCGGCUAACUCCGUGCCAGCAGCCGCGGUAA